ACAUAAUUGGUAACAUGAGUCACAAGCUCUAUAGUACGAAUACAAGUCUGAAUUAUAAGAAUACUAUUUGAAACAACAACAACAAUAAAGGAAAAUAAGAAGAGACACCAGGAACUGCGAUCAGGAAGCAAGUCUACGUCGGUCUCCAUCGCAUAACAAUCAACUCAGCUCACAGAGCUCGACUGGGUCCAAUUCCGGAAUCUGCACAAUCAAUUGCAGAGUGUAAUAUGAGUACAACCGUUCCCAUGUACUCUGUAGGUAUUAUGACUAACCUCGGCGAGGUAGUAGUGGAAAGUAUUACAAAUUAUACUCACUUAACAACCUACACAAUUCAUAAAUAUACAAGUACGCAACAAUGAUGCCAAGCUAAGAAUGAAAUACACGUAUAACAUAUCAGUGCAUAUAGAGAUGAUGUGUGCAAGUCUUAUAAUAGUUUAAGAGCUCAACAUAUAGAGAAGUUAUGCGACUAUCACUAAUAAAUUAUCAACAUUUGUAUAUAUAGAAGAUAUGCAUAAAUAAUCAAGUCAAUGUGCAAAGGUUAACAUAUAGAAAAGAUAUAUACCGUGCAUUCAUCCUUCGGGUAAAGCAUCAUACAGAGAAGAUAAGCAUAAAGAGGCAUAUAUUCCAAAACUAGCAUCUAGAGAGGAUAUGUGAUAAAAUUAUGUAUACACCCGAGUGUUUGCAAAUAGAGAAAAGAUGCAAAAACCAAACACUGAAUAGUUUAUCUCAUACCGUGUGUACGUUAUCAAAAGAGAAACAUGAGAGAAAGACACUAGGAGGAUGGAUCCUUAUCCAUACGCUACACGGACAACUCACAUGCUAUAAUAUAACAACCGCACGGACCACUUACGUGCUAUCAUAACUCAAACUGUACAGACUACUCAUGUGCUGUCAAUUCAAUCCAUAUCAAUCACAAAGCAUAUACAAGAAUACAUGUAUACGAAUAAUAGAUAUUAAAUCACAUACUUAUGGACUGAUAAAAGUAACAUGCUAUGGUGUAUACAUGUGCGAAGUGUGCUAGCAUAGCUUAGAUUAGGCAGAUAUGCCACAAAAUAACAAUUAUCAUGUUUGAACAGAAAAUUAGCCUACACAUGAUCUCUAGCAUGAUUCAAGAAGCUCACGAAGGGGUACAAACAUAUGAAGCACGAGAGCAAGAAGCAUAGAAUCUAAUACAAGGCAUAACACAACAUAAGGACUAUCCCAAACAUGAAUAAAACCUGGUGCAUGCAUACAUACUCAUCUCCCCGCAUGUACGUCACCCUUGGCAUGUAGUCAUCAUCAACAAUUCAAGUAACUAGUGCUUCAAACCAAGUCUAGGCAAGAUACUUACCUCAAACAAGCAAACAUCAAUGCUCCAAAAAUGUCUUUCCUCGCAAAUCGGUCUACGAACAACUUGAAUCUAGCUAAAAAUAACUCAAUAACAUCAAAUAAAUCUAUAUGAAUCAAUUCCAAAUAGUAAAGCUACAAUCUUUAUUCAAUUUUUAAAAAGUCAACAAAAGUCAAUCCAGGCCUACAUGGUCAAAAACCCGAGUCAAGGGGUAGAUUCUGAUAACCCAUUGUUGCACCUCCUUUUUUCGGGUAUGGGCAAAUAAAAUUUUUCAAUUUAAGUGACAUUAUUUGAAAGGGAUUGAUUUAUUUAUUUUAAAGGAGUCGCCACUUGGAAAUAUUUGAUUUCGGUAUUCCAAGUCACCAUUUUAAAAAUCCCAAUUAAAAGAAAAUUUUGACUCCGAAUUAUGGUUCGUGAACACAGAAGACUGGGUAAGAAAUUCUGUUAACCCACGAGAAGGCAUAAGACACUCCCAAAUUGUGUUGUUCUAGCACCGUCGCUUAAUAAUUUUACUUGGCUUACCUAAUUUUAGAUAUUUGGUGUUUUGGGAUUUUAUAUAUUUUUGCCUCUAUUCGCAUUUAAUUUGCUUAGUUGUUAUAAUUAUAGGUUUCAUCGUGAAUCAAGUUGUGUAUGUAUACUCAUUUCAUUUGGCACAUCAAGAAUCAUGUCACGCGUACAUGUACACAAUUAAUAACACUUUAUUAUUAUUAAUAUUGUUUUGGCAAAAGUUCAUGAACGCAUUCCUUGCCUUUACUUUUGAAAAUUGUAAUUAUGUCACGUAAACGUAUACAUAAUCACGAUGAUUCGAUUAAUUAGGAGCGUGUUUAAAGCAUUCUAACAUAAUCAUGAUUUGUUUUUUCGCGACAUUUGUGAUUAUUGUAAGGCAUAAGCAUAUGAAAGUUGGAAUUGUAGGAGCAAAGAGACUUAUCUUCUACAGAUAUGUUAGUUUAAUAGUUAUUAUAUUAUGUUCAACAAAUUUAUACGAGACUGCAAAUUGCAAUAGGAAUACCAAUGACGAGAAUGUUGAAAGCCCAUUAGGCGAAUCGAGUUUUGAGGGGCAUUUGCAUCUAUAUCCAGGUUUUGGGUCAACUUUUAACUUAUACCCGCUUUGCAAAAACAAUUGCAAGUAUACCCACUUUUCGGAUAACUUCAGACAUACGGGCCUGGAGUAGCAAGAAUAUAUGUCUGAAGUUUGAACUUCAGAAUGUUUUGUCUGAAGUGUAGCAAAACUUCAGAUAUUUUUACGUGAAGUUUGGCCUGACUUCAAAAGGCAAUCACGCAAACUUCAGUUCAUAGUGCAAUGGCAAACUUCAGCUCAAUAAAACUACAUGUUUUGGCUGAAGUUUUUGUUUUGUAAUUGCUGAACUUCAGCAUUCUAGGAGCUGAAGUUUGUUUUAUAAUUGCCGAACUUCAGCAUUCUAGGAGCUGAAGUUUGUUAUGUAAUUGCUGAACUUAAGCAUUUUAGGGCUGAAAUUUGUUUUGUAUUUGCUGAACUUAAGCAUUCUAGGAGCUGAAAUUUUUGUUUAUAUUUGCUGAACUUCAGCAUUCUUAGAGCUGAAGUUCUAUGUCUGCACACGGAAAUAUUUCAAAAAACGAAUUCAACAAAAGAACAUAUUGUACAUAAAGGAAAUAGUACUAAACAACAAUUAAUUUAAUAGAUCAUGAUUAGCAGCGAUUGAUGCUGUUCAUUUCAAAGAUUAAAGAAUGAAAAAUAUUUUCGACAUGAAAACAAGUUACCACAGAUAAAUUAGAACCAUAAACCAAUGUGCAUGUAAAGCAUCUAAGAUGUUAAAUUAUUGUGAAUAAGACCAAACCGAACAUAAUGGGACAAACAGAUAUAUAGGAAUCAUCAGGUCAAAACGCAUAACAAUAUUUCAGCAUUCAGAAAAUGAAGGAGGAGGAGAAAGAGGUCUUAAAUUGUUUAAAAAAUAAGUACAAGUUAAAACCUUUUUUAAAAAGUGGGUAUAGGUUAAAUGGGUGCGACCAAAUAGGGCACUCCGUGCAAUUUUUACGAGUUUGGAAGGGAAUAAUAAAUGCUAAAGUUUGAGUUUUAACAUCCUCUCCUCGGAUUUAAGGCUUGGUCAUGGAAUGUGAAUGGGCUUCAAAGGCUAUGGUCGAGCAGUCAUACUGAAACUCUUAGCUAUCCGAGCACAACUAUCGUUGGGCUUUAGUGUGAAGCCCAAGGGAUCAGGUCCCUUUAAUCGCCGAAGGUCCCACUUAGACCUUGAUUUAUUAAGCCGUAUAAGGUUCGGGGUCCAUUUAACCCCAAACACAUAUGCAGGCCCGCCUGAGCAAGUAAUAGGCUUAAAUUUAAGCUAAUAAUAGUCAUCGAUUUACAGAGGUAGCAACUCUAAUUAUACUAAUAACCUAACAAUAUCAUAAGUACAUUUUAUAGAAAUGGAAAUCUAAAUAACUAAUGACACAAUUGAACUAUUAAUUGCAGAAUUAAUCACUUUACAACUAAAUUCAAAUUACAAAAAAAGGCAUCAAUAUAGCUAAAACUACAAAGCAUCCCUUGGACAUUCUCUGACAGCAACGAUUUCCUUCCUUUAUUUUAUGAUAUGGUCACUUUUUUGAAUUUAUGAGUACGACUUUCUUUACUCCUAACCACAUUUUUAAGAGAAAGCCAUAAAAUAUUAGAAGAAAUGAUCUUCUUUUGGUCUUAAACUGCAGAUCAGACCAACUAGUGGUUAGAUCUGCAAGUGUUGACCUUCUAACUAUUCCUAAUAUUUAAAACUAAUAGGUGGAUCAACUACACAAUGUAGAAAAACAACAAAAGGACCCAUCUAAGUAACAGUAAAAUACAGGCACUGCUCCAUCAAUUUUUAUCCUAUUCAACAUUUAUGCACACUAGGCAAUCCAAAAGCACAUAUUUAAUAGAUAUUCAUACUUCCUAACUCACAUCACUGUGUUCAAACACAUACAAUAACUUCACUCAAAUAUUUUAAAAGAGAAAUACAAACAAAGAGGGACACUUUAUAAUUUUGCAACAGCAAAUCACUUCAUCAUUAUAUUAUUAAAAUAGAGUUAUAUUUUAAGAGAUCAAGUAAUACCUUGAGAAGCAGAAAGUAACAAGAAUAUUAGCAACAAAACAAUGGUAUGGAGCUCAGCAACAGAUCCAAUACACCAAUGCAAUAGUGAACCAAUGAACCAAACCCAGAAAAAAAACUUAAAGGAAAACCAGGAACCACCUUAGGUUUUAUCACCCAUGAAACAUAUUAACUCUCUUCUAUUUUUUAUGAUUUUUUGUCUUAGCACUAGAGGUUCCGUAAUUAUCCGAUCCGAAUCCCUGUUGUGGCUAUUGAGAAUCCUCCUAAAAUGAAAGGUAAGUGUCCUUUUUAUAGGCACAAUUAGGGUUUCCCCUACCCCUUAUCUUUUUACCCAUUUAACCUUCUACCAACGACCUAAAAGACCCCUUAACCAAUAGGAAAUUCGCUACUUCUCUAUCCUAGCAGCUGCUCAGCAGUUGUGAAAAGAUUCCCACAGUUAGAUUACCUAGCCGCCCUAAACAUUUCUUACAUUUAUCUUAAUGCCACUCAUUUUACCCUAUCUUCUAGCACUUUCUAUUUUAUUAUUCUUUUAACUCCAUUUUCAUCAUUUUUUAUCCUGCCUGACUCUAAUGAAUGGACCUGGAUCAACCUACGCUUGACCCGAAGGGUCACUUACUACAUUGGUCUAAAACAGGCCCAACUUAACAAUCGGACUUAAAUGAACAACACGACUGAAUCAAAACAUGGAGUUAACAGUUGCAACAAACUUGAAAUCCCACAUUUAGGUUGAGGUAUACUCAAUUAGACUUAGAUGCUGAAGAAACAAAUCUUUCCAUUAGAGUUAUUUAAUCUAACGUGCAACUACAUGAUAACAUGCUGAAAUUCUUAAUAAGUUAACCAUGCAACCUAAUUUAAUUAACAAUCAAACUAUAAGCAAAGCAAGAAGUUAAUCUAACCAAAGGAGAAAGGACCCGAAGAGAGGAAAUGGUAUGAAGCUCACCAAUCUUCUUGUAGUGCUCUACUAGGCUCGGACAUCAUGGAUACCGGCAAAAUCGAUUGGGAACGAGGGGAAGGUAAGGAUUGUUUGGUGAUAUUUUGGGGCAUUUUGGUGGUAUUCUGCCAGUGUGAAGCGAUUUCCGGCACGGUCAACGGUGGUCAACGGGUGGAGGAGUGGUGAUUGGGAGGUGAUGGGCGACGAAGACGAAUUCCGGCUGCCCUGGAUCCCUA
rnacentral:lncRNA from 1 species